CCCCCCCCCCCCCCCCCCCCCCCCCCCCCCCCCCCCCCCUUUUUUUUUUUUUUUUUUUUUUUUUUUUUUUUUUUUUUUUUUUUUUUUUUUUUUUUUUUUUUUUUUUUUUUUUUUUUUUUUUUUUUUUUUUUUGCCUUUUUAUAUUUAUUCUUUUCUGUUCAGAACAGACAUGAGGCAAGAAGCAAAGUCUGUACUGUGCCUCCUUCAUGGUCUCCUCAGGACACCUUCCUCAGAGAAGUGACACCAGUGCUGCUUCCAGUUCUAUCCCUGUUUUCAUGCCUUUGUCCCAACCUUAUGUGCUACAUGGAGAGAACAACCACCCUAAUGGUGCUGCAAUCUGAGACAUAAUGUGCCAGAGAGGAGAGCUAAAGAAAAC
rnacentral:lncRNA from 12 species